rnacentral:lncRNA from 1 species
UAGGAUUGAUUGUGAGCUUCUCCCCCCAAACUCAGAAAAACUGCCAGAAGCUCAGAAAAGUAAGCUGCUUGCUCAAGAAUGGACGGCUUCAAGGUGGCAGAGCUGGAAGUUUCUAACUCACUCACCUCAUACUCAGACCUGCACUGUUUUUCAAGACAGUCAAUAUUUCAGGCCAUCUACUGAUUGGAUGAGGCCCACCAGCAUUCUGAAAGACAAGGAAUCUGAGACCUGGCUGGGAGAAGAGGACUUGCCUAAAGUUAUCCCACACAGCAAAUUAGUUGGAAAACCAGGAUAGUUGAGUAAAUAUCCUGGAGCCCAGCCAAGUAAUGAAGCCAGAAUUCAGAAAGCUGUUUUGGCUAGAUCUUGGAUUUUUACAAUAAAGGGUCUGUAAGGGAUAUUUGUGAAAAAUGUUGACACUUGACGGCUGUCCUGAUUCAUUCAGCUACCUAGGUUAUCUCUGCCUCUCUUUGACUUGUGUUUUGUCUUUUAAGAUGGCAGUCUUGCUCUUUUGCCUGGGCUGGUCUUGAACUCCUGGGCUCAAGCAGUUUUCCUGCUUUAGCCUCCUGAGUAGCUGGGGCUACAGGAGGACAUCACUGUGCCCAGCUCUCUCCGUAUCUUUGACUAGGUUAUUUUACAACCCCAUACGAUAGAAAUGAAGUUAUAGAAAACUGAUAGGAAUACAAAUAAUUAUUAUCCAUGGAAAUGCAAAUUGGAUCUAAUGGAAUGAAACUGAUUUUUUUUCCAGCAGAUAGUGACCACCUUUGUAUCCUUUUGUAAAUUCAUUUCAGCAUUCCAUAUUUGACUAAAAAUGUGUGACACUCCCAAUUUGCUUUUGAAUUCAUUGUAAUAUCUACCAAUUCCCUCAUUAAUUAAUGAGUUAAAUAAAGCCUUUGGCAUGUAUUUAUUUUGUAUCUA